rnacentral:lncRNA from 1 species
AAAAGACAACUUGAAACAUGUUUAAGUAAACUCAAAAUUUAUUUUUGAGUUGAUAAAUUUGUGGGACUAUUUUUGGGCUGUCUCAUGUUACUAUCGGAUUGUCUCUUUUACUGCUGCUUUUAUGGAUUUUAGAGGAGGAAGUGUUUGGAGAAAUUCCACAUAAUGGUAUGGUUGUUUGUUGGUCAUCCGUCAUAACUUCGAAUUGUUUGACACUAUUAUGGUUGUCGUGUUGUGUCUGAAGUGAUAGGGG